rnacentral:lncRNA from 1 species
CUGCUGGUAAGUUCCUCUCUGAGGGUUUCUAUUUCUUGCCCCAGCAUUGUUUUCUCAUCCUGCAAUCGAUCAGCCAAAGUUCUCAAAUCUUCAGUAGUCUUCUCUAUCUCUUCAAUUCUUCUCACAGCAGUCUCUUUCUCCAUGAGCAGGUUGUCUCUCUCUGUAGUCAUAUCUUCCAAUCUUGAAUUCUGUACCAAAAUUGACGAGGCAAGAGAUUUAUUUUCUUCCUCAGAAUGUGUCAAUUUUUGGCUUAAAUCUGACACUUGUAGCACUGCAGAUUCUAGUUGCUGCUUAAUACUGGCAACUUCUGCACUAAAAUUUUCUAGUUCUUGCUUGAGAAUUUCCUUUUCUUUCUCAGCAACUUCCAAACUGUGAUUAAGUUCUGAUACCAUCUGCUCUGUAAAUUCCAGUUGCUGCUUCCUGCUGGUAAGUUCCUCCCCAAGAGCUCCUAUUUCUUGCCCCAGCAUUGUUUUCUCAUCCUGCAAUCGAUCAGCCAAAGAUCUUAAGUCUUCAGUAGUCUUCUCUAUCUCUUCAAUUCUUCUCACAGCAGUCUCUUUCUCCAUGAGCAGGUUGGCUUUCUCUCUAGUCAUAUCUUCCAAUCUUGAAUUCUGUACCGAAACUGAUGAGGUAAGAGAUUUAUUUUCUUCCUCAUAAUGUGUCAAUUUUUGGCUUAAAUCUGAAACUUGCAGCUCUGCACAUUCUAAUUGCUGCUUCAAACUGGUGACUUCUGCUCUAAAACUUUCUAGCUCUUGCCCAAGAACUACCUUUUCUUUGUCAGCAACUUCCAAAGUGUGAUUAAGUUCUGAUACCAUCUUCUCUGUAGAUCCCAGUUGCUGCUGCCUGCUUGUAAGUUCCUCUCUAAGGGUUUCUAUUUCUUGCCUGAGCAUUGUUUUCUCAUCCUGCAAUUGAUCAGCCAAAGUUCUUAAGUCUUCAAUAGUCCUCUCUAUCUCUUCAAUUCUUCUCACAGCAGUCUCUUUCUCCAUGAGCAGGUUGUUUUUCUCUCUAGCCAUAUCUUCCAAUCUUGAAUUCUGUACCAAAACUGAAGAGGUAAGAGAUUUAUUUUCUUCCUCAGAAUGUGUCAAUUUUUGGCUUAUAUCUGACACUUGCAGCUCUGCAGAUUCUAGUUGCUGCUUCAUACUGGCGAUUU